rnacentral:rRNA from 1 species
GAUCCUGGCUCAGGACGAACGCUGGCGGCGUGCCUAAUACAUGCAAGUAGAACGCUGAAGGAGGAGCUUGCUCUUCUGGAUGAGUUGCGAACGGGUGAGUAACGCGUAGGUAACCUGCCUGGUAGCGGGGGAUAACUAUUGGAAACGAUAGCUAAUACCGCAUAACAGUAGAUAUCGAAUGAUAUUUGCUUGAAAGGUGCAAUUGCACCACUACCAGAUGGACCUGCGUUG